GGGAUGACGGCCUUCGGGUUGUAAACCUCUUUCAGCAGGGAAGAAGCGAAAGUGACGGUACCUGCAGAAGAAGCGCCGGCUAACUACGUGCCAGCAGCCGCGGUAAUACGUAGGGCGCGAGCGUUGUCCGGAAUUAUUGGGCGUAAAGAGCUCGUAGGCGGCUUGUCGCGUCGGUUGUGAAAGCCCGGGGCUUAACCCCGGGUCUGCAGUCGAUACGGGCAGGCUAGAGUUCGGUAGGGGAGAUCGGAAUUCCUGGUGUAGCGGUGAAAUGCGCAGAUAUCAGGAGGAACACCGGUGGCGAAGGCGGAUCUCUGGGCCGAUACUGACGCUGAGGAGCGAAAGCGUGGGGAGCGAACAGGAUUAGAUACCCUGGUAGUCCACGCCGUAAACGGUGGGCACUAGGUGUGGGCGACAUUCCACGUCGUCCGUGCCGCAGCUAACGCAUUAAGUGCCCCGCCUGGGGAGUACGGCCGCAAGGCUA
rnacentral:rRNA from 1 species